AGGUUAUAGCUCAGUGGGAGAGCGCGUGCUUGCAUGCGUGAGGUCCUGGGUUCAAUCCCCAGUAUCUCUA
rnacentral:tRNA from 1 species